UGACAGGUGGUGCAUGGUUGUCGUCAGCUCGUGUCGUGAGAUGUUGGGUUAAGUCCGCAACGAGCGCAACCCUCGCCUCUAGUUGCCAGCAUUCGGUUGGGCACUCUGGAGGGACUGCCGGCGACAAGUCGGAGGAAGGUGGGGAUGACGUCAAAUCAUCAUGCCCCUUAUGACCUGGGCUACACACGUGCUACAAUGGGCGGUACAAAGGGCUGCGAACCCGCGAGGGGGAGCGAAUCCCAAAAAGCCGCUCUCAGUUCGGAUUGCAGGCUGCAACUCGCCUGCAUGAAGCCGGAAUCGCUAGUAAUCGCGGAUCAGCAUGCCCGCGGUCGAAUACGUUCCGGCCUU
rnacentral:rRNA from 1 species